GUAGGUGGCAAGCGUUGUCCGGAAUUAUUGGGCGUAAAGCGCGCGCAGGCGGUCCUUUAAGUCUGAUGUGAAAGCCCACGGCUCAACCGUGGAGGGUCAUUGGAAACUGGGGGACUUGAGUACAGAAGAGGAAAGCGGAAUUCCAAGUGUAGCGGUGAAAUGCAUAGAGAUUUGGAGGAACACCAGUGGCGAAGGCGGCUUUCUGGUCUGUAACUGACGCUGAGGCGCGAAAGCGUGGGGAGCAAACAGGAUUAGAUACCCUGGUAGUCCACGCCGUAAACGAUGAGUGCUAAGCGUUAGGGGGUUUCCGCCCCCCUUAGUGCUGCAGCUAACGCAUUAAGCACUCCGCCUGGGAUACGGCCGCAAGGCUG
rnacentral:rRNA from 1 species